rnacentral:rRNA from 1 species
CACGUAGGAGACUAGCGUUAUCCGGAUUUACUGGGCGUAAAGCGCGUGCAGGCGGCUCGGAAAGUUGGAUGUGAAAGCUCCUGGCUUAACUGGGAGAGGUCGUUCAAUACUUCCGGGCUAGAGGAUGGGAGAGGGAGGUGGAAUUCCGGGUGUAGUGGUGAAAUGCGUAGAUAUCCGGAGGAACACCAGUGGCGAAAGCGGCCUCCUGGCCCAUAUCUGACGCUCAGACGCGAAAGCUAGGGUAGCAAAC